CCUACGGGAGGCAGCAGUGAGGAAUAUUGGUCAAUGGACGAGAGUCUGAACCAGCCAAGUAGCGUGAAGGAUGACUGCCCUAUGGGUUGUAAACUUCUUUUAUAUGGGAAUAAAAUGUUCCACGUGUGGGAUUUUGUAUGUACCAUAUGAAUAAGGAUCGGCUAACUCCGUGCCAGCAGCCGCGGUAAUCAGGGGGAUCCGAGCGUUAUCCGGAUUUAUUGGGUUUAAAGGGAGCGUAGGUGGAUUGUUAAGUCAGUUGUGAAAGUUUGCGGCUCAACCGUAAAAUUGCAGUUGAAACUGGCAGUCUUGAGUACAGUAGAGGUGGGCGGAAUUCGUGGUGUAGCGGUGAAAUGCUUAGAUAUCACGAAGAACUCCGAUUGCGAAGGCAGUUCACUGGACUGCAACUGACACUGAGGCUCGAAAGUGUGGGUAUCAAACAGGAUUAGAUACCCUAGUAGUC
rnacentral:rRNA from 1 species